GCCAUUUUGGGUGUUCUGCUCUAGCGGCAGCGGCGGCGGCGGCGGGACGCGGAGGCUCCCCCGGGACUUGGCCUCAGCAACGAGGCGGCGGCGGCUGCAGAGUCGCAGGCAGCAGCUGAGGCGGCGGCGGGCUCAGGUGCAGCCGCUGAUUCACAGAGUGGACUUGUGAAGCAGCUGUUCUGUCCUGUUCAGGUGUCUUCUGGCAGCAUGGGCUCUGGUUCCGGGCCUGAGUGGCAGCACAUUCAGCUGGCAGGGGCAUCUCUCCCUGGAUCACGUCGUGUUUGUCUACACAUGGCAGAUUUCUUGAGGUUUGGAGAACUUUGAGGUUUUAAUUAGAAGAAUACUAACCAGUACUACAAUUUACACAAAUACGGUCUGGAAAGAAAGAGCAGCAUAUCUAAGUCAUUGAAACUGACCCUUAAGUGUGUAUUUAAGGCGUCAAUGUAUUUAGUUAUUUUCAAGAGAAAGCCAAUAAAGCAGGUUUUAGUAUUUCUAGAGUUGUAUAUUAUAUGGUAAUAUUUCUAGAAGAAAAAUUGGAUCCCCCUUUUUUUUUUGAUACCAAGGAUGGAACUUGGGUCUUUGCACUUGCAAGACAGGUGGCGCAACCACUGAGCUAAAUCCCCAGCCCGAUAAAUGCUAUAUUGAGAUGAAAGAACUUUAUAAUGUGCUUAAUAAGAUGAGACAGUUGUGAACCAGAAUAUCAAAAAAGGCCUUCAAAAAUAUUUUAAAAGCAAAAUCAAAAUGAAGUAGGCAAGUUUAUGUUCUUGUGGGGCAUUUGUGAAUGCUUUCAUCAUUGUUCACCAUAUGCAUAGCCAUACAAAAAUGAGUUUGAGUUCAAAACUAACAUUAUUUUGGUGAUUAUUAAUUGUACAAGUGUAUCAGAAAAGAAUUUUUAGGUCCAUUUUUUGAAUGUCACAUUGCUCAGUGUGCCCAUCACUUUUUUUUUUUUUUUUUUUGGUACUGGGGAUCGAACUUGGGACCUUGUGCUUGCUAGGCAGGUUCCGGAACCACUGAGCUAAAUCCCCGGCCCCCCAUCACUUUUAAUGCCCUUGCCAGUGAGUGUUUCAGGUGUGGUUUAUUUUAUUUUAUCUUGGGGUGUUGGAGAUCAAACCCACUGUAAUGUUGAGCUACAUCCUCAACCCUUUUUUAUUUUUAUUUUUAUUUUUAUUUUUAUUUUUUGUACCAGGGAUCAAACUCAGGACCUUGUGCCUGCAAGGCAGGCGUGGUGCCACUGAGCUAAAUCCCUGACCCUUAUUUUUUAUUUUUGAGAAAGUCUUGUGAAGUUUUUCAGACAGGACUCAGACUUCUUCUUCUUCUUCUUUUUUUUUUUUUCUGGUGCCAGGGAUCGAAUUCAGGACCUUGCGCUUUCCAGGCAGGCAAAGCACCAUGGAGCUACAUCCUGGCCCCUCAAACUUCUUUUUUUUUUUGGUACUGGAGAUUGAACUCUGGUCCUUGCCCUUGUGCAGCAGGCAGGGAAACCACUGAGCUAAAUCCCCAGCUCAAACUUCUUGAACUUAGGAUUCUCCUGCCUUAUACCUUUUAAUUGAGGCAGAGCACAGAUGUGUUUUCUAAUAUAUACAGGAAUGUAUUUAGUUUCUUCCUUUUUGUGUGUGUGUGUUUUGAGAUAGGGUUUCACUGUUUAGUUUUUAGGCUGGUCUUGAACUCACUGUGUAGCCCAGGCUGGCCUUGAACUCAUGGUGAUCCUCCUGCUUCAGCCUCCCAAAUGAGAUUACAGGCAUGUGCCACCACACCCAGCUUUAGUUUCUUAUAAUCACAGAUUUUUUUUCCUCAAAGACUUUACCUAAAAAUAGAGACUUUGGGUCCAAUAUUAAUGUUUAUUUUUAUCUUACCAGAAAAUUAGUGAAAAUGCUGUUGGCAGUCUUUUGCUUUCUUGAUUUCAAUACACUAGAGACUACUGUAAUGAAAAUGUAGCUGAGUUUUUGUUUUUGUUUUCUGGUACCAGGGAUUGAACCUUGGGCUUUCGAGGCAGGCGAGGCAGGCGCAGUGCCACUGAGCUAAAUCCCCAGCCCUGUAGCUGAGUUUUUAAUGUUAGGAAUUUGUUUCAUGAUCACGAGGACUUGUACUUUCAGGGCAAUUAAGGUAAUCAGAUAUUUUAGUCAUUAGAUAUGGCAUGGCUCUGAAAGAAAUCUGUAAUCUCAGGCUUUAUCUAUAGUGCAUUUUCCCCUCAUUUAUUAAAACAUGUAGUUAUUAUUCUUGGUCUUGAUUUGACUAGUGACUUUUCACAUAAAAAUUCUUAUACAGUACAGAGUUCUCCCUGAUAAGGUAUGUUAAAUUUUAGUGAAAUGAAAAGAACUGGUUCUCUCCGACCUCACAGUGACCCUGAGAGAAAACACAGGCAGGAAAGAGCAAGGGAGGGUGAGAUGUGGGUGCUUAACCCCACUGUGUAGCAGGGAAGCCUCAGGUUAGUGACCUCAAUGAGGACAGUAACUUAUUUGGAACAAUUAUUAUUAUUAUUUUUUUUGGUAGUGUGGAUCAAACUCAGAACCUUGUGCUUGCCAGGCAGGCACUAUACCACUGAACUACAUCCCUGGCCCCAGGAACAUUUAUCUUCUAAGGAGCAGAACAGGACUGGAUUGCCAGUCUUCUCAGUUCAAAUGCUGUGCCCUUUUCUUGUACCUUUCUUGCUUAUUGAGACCCAGUCUCAUGGGAGUGAUGAAGUAAUUGUAUCCAUAUUUGUAACUGUUACAUAGCAGUAUAACUUCUCCACUGUUGUUUUUUUUUUUGGUACCAGGGAUCAAACUCGGGACCUUGCCCCCAACCCACUUUUCCACUGUUAAUCAACAGUAUAAACUCAGUGUCUCGCUCCAGCAGUUCUUUGAGAAAACUAGGAAGAUGGUCACAUUUGUUAAUUGCUUUGACAAGAUGCUGUUUUUGUACCUUACCAAAAUUAUUUACUUGUUUGCUUAUUGAAAAGUAAGAAUAAUUUAACCCUAACAGAAGUGGCAGAGAAAUUUUGGGGAGGGGGGUUUGUUUGCUUUUUCUUUAGGUGCUAGGAAUGAAAAAUCCAGGCCUUGGGCCGGGGAUUUGGCUCAGUGGUUUCGCUGCCUGCUGCGCAAGCGCAAUUCGUUUUCUGGUACCAAAAAAAAAAAAAAAAUCCAGGGCUCAUGCAUGCUAGGCAAGUAUUGUACCAGUGAGCUAUAACCUGUAGCCUGGAGAUGUGGUUAAAGGCAGAUAGCCUCUUCAUAUUUCCCUGAGUUCGUGUGGAAGUAACUUUCCCACCAGUCAUUUAGUAGAUGAGAGAGCUGGGUGUUCCACCUUUAUUUGGUUCCUUUAUGAGGUAUGACAUGAAUGACAUCUCUUGCCUUCUAGGUUUGUAGUCCUAGUUUUUCUUCUUAAAAUUUGGUUCCUAUCUUCCAUUGUCCGUAUCCCACAGCCAUUCCUGGGCUUGGAUAUUGCAUCUUAAUUCUAAACAGCUUUUCUUGGUGGUAGUGGUGGGAAUACUGGAGAUUGAACCCAGGGCCUUCACGCUGAGCUACAUCCCCUGCCUCCCUUUUUUUUAUUUUUUACUUUGAGACAUGGUCUUACUAAGUUGCCCCGGCUAGGUGGAAACUUGGGAUCUUCCCAUCUCAGGCUGUCAGUGCUAGGAUUAUAGGUGUGUGCCAUCACACCUGAUUUAUCCAGUCCUAUUCUGGGUGCUCCUAGAAAAGACAGAAAACCAUUUUCUUUAGGUUGUCACAUUUGCCAGACGGUCUGGUCUGUGAUCAUGUCCUCUUUUUCACUGGGCCCACACUAAAGCUUGUCCCAAGUGCUAUCUUGAUAAAUGUCCUCUUUACCAAUCUUGUGUUUCAAAUCUUUAUUUACAGGUGUUGAUUCACAGUGGGGAAGAGCCAUGUUCAGAAGGUUUUUUUUGGAUAAUCUGAAUUUUCUCCUUGUCUUUAUCUCUUUGGUUCUGUUUAUAUUCUUUGUACCUCUAUUUUCUUGAGCUUGUACCUUCAGACUCUAUUACAUCAUCUUUAGGACUGUAAAUAAAAGUUGGAAGAUUUUAAAGUUAAAGUUCCCAGAAUAAUGCUGUCGCCCACAUUGCACAUAUGUCACAUUUGAAUUUUCUAGUUAAGCCUCUAAAUACACGUUUUAUGUACAGUAUGUGCAGUGUGCUUAGAUUGCCAUGAGAAUUUAAACAUUUUAGUCUUAAAUGGUUCAGUGUUUCCCUCCUCUCCACCCCCAUGCGAGGGCCUUUGCACUAAACCACAACUGUUUUAAAAUUUUGAUACAUCAUUUUGUUAAAUUGCUAUCUUGUUGGGCCGGGGAUUUAGCUCAGUGGUGCUGCCACCUGCCUUGUGCAAGUGCAAGGUCCUGAGUUUGAUCCCUAAUACCAAAAAAAAAAAAAUUGCUAUAUUGUCCAGACUGGGCAUCAGGGUUUUUUUGAAAGAGGGUCUCUCUAUGCAGUUCAGGGUGGCCUUGAACUCAACUGUAGCCCAGGCUGGCCUCGAACUCAUGGCAAUCUUCUUGCCUCAGCCUCCCAACUACUGGGAUUACAGGCCUGUGCUAACCACUUUCAGCCUUUUUCUCUUUUACUGCUUUAGCUGAAGGCUAGCCUUUUAUUUAACACACUUUUUACAAAUUGAUAUAUUAAGACAGUAGGUGUGCUCAUAUAUUGCCUCUCACUGACAGGAUGGGGAGCUGGUUUCUUUGCUUGCCUUUUUACCAGUUUCCUGCCUUCCAGUCUGCCAUGCUCUGGUUUUUGUCUCUGUGUACUUGUCUCUACUACUUUCUUUGUACAGGUAGGAUUAGAAAUAGAAAACUGGAGGCUUUAAUUUUUUUGGUUUUUUGGUACCGGCGAUCGAACUCGGGUCCUUGCGCUUGCGCAGCAGGCAGCGAAACCACUGAGCUAAAUCCCCAGCCCAGCUUUAUGUUUUUUGGACAAAGUGAACCUAGGAGCUGGGUAGAGGUUUACCUAGCAUGCAUGAAUCCCAGGGUUGAUCCUAAGCAACACAGACACAUACACAUAGUGAGAGAGGAGCUAUCUAACCCUAAUCCUAAUCUUUCAGACAACUAAGGAAUUCUCAUAUGUAAGCCUCUAAGAUGAACUGUAGUGGUAACUCAUAAACUAAAAUUGCUUGGAAACUUUAACAAAAAACAUUGUAUACUGGGUUUGGCCUAGGACUGUAAUCCCUGCACUGUGAGAGGCUGAGGCAAGAGAAUCAGAAGUUUG
ensembl:lncRNA